rnacentral:rRNA from 1 species
GAGUUUGAUCGUGGCUCAGGACGAACGCUGGCCGCGUGCUUAACACAUGCAAGUCGAACGCUGAAGCCUGGUGCUUGCACCGGGUGGAUGAGUGGCGAACGGGUGAGUAACACGUGAGUAACCUGCCCCUGACUUCGGGAUAAGCCCGGGAAACUGGGUCUAAUACCGGAUACGACCGUCGGACGCAUGUCUGGUGGUGGAAAGUUUUUUCGGUUGGGGAUGGGCUCGCGGCCUAUCAGUUUGUUGGUGAGGUAAUGGCUCACCAAGACGACGACGGGUAGCCGGCCUGAGAGGGCGACCGGCCACACUGGGACUGAGACACGGCCCAGACUCCUACGGGAGGCAGCAGUGGGGAAUAUUGCACAAUGGGGGAAACCCUGAUGCGGCGACGCAGCGUGCGGGAUGACGGCC